UUCAUAAAACAUCAAAACAAUUGAAAUUUAUGUUUCGCUAUUUUUAAUAUAUGAUCAACAAAUAUUUACUUAAAUCAUUUUACUUAAAAGAUAACAGGCAGUGGGUAUAUUUGUUGAUAGUGAUAAGACAAGAGCGGAGUGAACAUUUAUCACAAAACAUGGAAAACGGAGAGUAUCAAAGUGUCAAAAAUAGAAACAAAUAAUGGAUAAUACAUUAAAUUCGAAUAAAUAGCAUAACAUGAAUUUUGUUUGUCAAAGUGAAAAUUAAAUGCACGAUUUUGUAUCGAUGCGAUAUACUUCUUGAUGAAAAAAACAAGUUAUUUAUCUGCAAGUACUGCUUAAAGUAUUCGUUACACUUGAAUUUAUUUUCAUUUCAUUCAUUUCAUCGUCAUAUUGGGACUUGGUUUUACCUUAGACAAUGGGAAGUACAUAAAUGUAAUAGUUGUUUGAUGAUAAGAAAAGUUACAUAAUGUCGGAAAAUACUGUUCAACAAGAAUUCACCGCCAGAUGGUAUUGAUCUCUAACAUAGCGAAAUCAAGGUCAAAGUAUAUCUUGCAAAGUCAUUUGAUACUUAGGCAGCUGAAAUAAUGAGCAUUUAAUCUCCAUACAGAUGUUAAAGGGCUACUGUCUAAUGAAGGUAUGUUUAUUAACUUGCGACAAUUUGUGGUUUCUUUUAUUAUAUAAAAAAUAGAAUUCGUUAGACAUAUUU